rnacentral:rRNA from 1 species
UGGGGAAUAUUGGACAAUGGGGGGCAACCCUGAUCCAGCAAUGCCGCGUGUGUGAAGAAGGUCUUCGGAUUGUAAAGCACUUUCGACGGGGACGAUGAUGACGGUACCCGUAGAAGAAGCCCCGGCUAACUUCGUGCCAGCAGCCGCGGUAAUACGAAGGGGGCUAGCGUUGCUCGGAAUGACUGGGCGUAAAGGGCGUGUAGGCGGUUUACACAGUCAGAUGUGAAAUCCCCGGGCUUAACCUGGGAGCUGCAUUUGAUACGUGCAGACUAGAGUGUGAGAGAGGGUUGUGGAAUUCCCAGUGUAGAGGUGAAAUUCGUAGAUAUUGGGAAGAACACCGGUGGCGAAGGCGGCAACCUGGCUCAUGACUGACGCUGAGGCGCGAAAGCGUGGGGAGCAAACAGGAUUAGAUACCCUGGUAGUCCACGCUGUAAACGAUGUGUGCUAGAUGUUGGGUAACUUUGUUAUUCAGUGUCGCAGUUAACGCGUUAAGCACA